AUGCAGUCGAACGGCAGCACGGGGGCAACCCUGGUGGCGAGUGGCGAACGGGUGAGUAACAUAUCGGAACAUAUCCGGAAGUGGGGGAUAACGUACCGAAAGGUACGCUAAUACCGCAUAUGCCCUGAGGGGGAAAGGAGGGGAUCGCAAGACCUUUCGCUUUCGGAGUGGCCGAUAUCGGAUUAGCUAGUUGGUGAGGUAAAGGCUCACCAAGGCGACGAUCCGUAGCUGGUCUGAGAGGACGACCAGCCACACUGGAACUGAGACACGGUCCAGACUCCUACGGGAGGCAGCAGUGGGGAAUUUUGGACAAUGGGGGCAACCCUGAUCCAGCCAUGCCGCGUGAGUGAAGAAGGCCUUCGGGUUGUAAAGCUCUUUCAGACGGAAAGAAACGGUCACGGCCAACACCCGUGACUAAUGACGGUACCGUCAGAAGAAGCACCGGCUAACUACGUGCCAGCAGCCGCGGUAAUACGUAGGGUGCGAGCGUUAAUCGGAAUUACUGGGCGUAAAGCGUGCGCAGGCGGUUUUGUAGGACAGACGUGAAAUCCCCGGGCUUAACCUGGGAACUGCGUUUGUGACUGCAAGACUAGAGUGUAGCAGAGGGGGGUAGAAUUCCACGUGUAGCAGUGAAAUGCGUAGAUAUGUGGAGGAAUACCGAUGGCGAAGGCAGCCCCCUGGGCUAACACUGACGCUCAUGCACGAAAGCGUGGGGAGCAAACAGGAUUAGAUACCCUGGUAGUCCACGCCCUAAACGAUGUCAACUAGGUGUUGGGGGAAGGAGACUUCUUUAGUACCGCAGCUAACGCGAUAAGUUGACCGCCUGGGGAGUACGGUCGCAAGAUUAAAACUCAAAGGAAUUGACGGGGACCCGCACAAGCGGUGGAUUAUGUGGGAUUAAUUCGAUGCAACGCGAAAAACCUUACCUACCCUUGACAUGUCAGGGAAGAUACCAGAGAUGGGAUUGUGCCCGAAAGGGAAACCUGAAACACAGGUGCUGCAUGGCUGUCGUCAGCUCGUGUCGUGACAUGUUGGGUUAAGUCCCGCAACGAGCGC
rnacentral:rRNA from 1 species